rnacentral:misc_RNA from 1 species
AUCACGCAUUUCCGUGGACGGCAACCGACGCAAAAACAACAACGCACGAAGCAGGAAACACACAAGGUAGUGGACUAUCGAAGCGUCUCACGUGCUUCUUGCUCUCUUGGUUACCCCCACUCGCAAGGUGCCCUUCCCAUACCGACACGCGUACACGAUCUCGCCAGCGCAUCGAUUGAAUCAUGAACAUUCUUUUACCGCUAACGAUCUUGAUUGUGAGCUGGAGCCUGGACAGCACAGAUCCUGAUGUCCAAAAGCGAAUCUUUUUCAUUUUCGCCUUAGUGCACACCGCAAUCAUGUGCAUGGCUAUCUACCUCUUCUUCGAAAUUUGGCGCUGUGACGACCACACCCUCCUCCAGGUCAAGGACCCCUACUCCGACAAGGAGAGUAUUCAGAAGCAGUGGGAGUACGACAUCGGGAAGCUGCGUGACCUGAUAUUGACCAAUAUUGGCUUCUCUGCGGGGAUCAGCACGUUCUUUGCCUUGCGCUACGGCAUCUACUUCCCCCUGCUGUUGCAGAGCCUUAACAAUCCCAAGGCGCUUUACCACUCGGAGCUGUUCCGCAUCUACGCGAAGAGGGAAAAGGCGGAGGGCGAGCUGCAGCGUCCGUGGAAGGAGACGAACACUAUACCCGAGUGGGCGAAGAUGCUCUGGAAUCAGAGCGAGAAGGACUCCGGAAAACUGCUCGCCAGCAGCGGGCUGGCUUUGCAGAGCCCGACUGGGGGCAGCAAGGCGCUGCGCAAGCGCAGGUAGGGCUGCCGCGGAGCUGGUGGUACUCCCGUGAGAGGAAUGAAAGAGGGCCUCUGUCACUGGGAUUCUGGUUAGUCCUGACAGAGCUCGCUUCCACUGCUACGCCCUCUUCUUCCUCUCGUUACCGCGGGCCUGUGCCUUCCUCCUCCCUCCGUCACAACACAUCGAGCAAGGUAAAACAAAAACAAAACAAAAGCAAACAAACUUAUCCCGACCAAGGACAGGUGAGACCACACAUACACUGGCAACCUCUGUGCAAGCGGCCGAUGGGAUUCAGUUGGUGGUGACUUCAGAGAGAGAGGCGGCGACCGAUGGGGCGCGCUCCUUGAGAGAGGCGAAUUGCGUAGCCUAGUAACGCGGAGGGAAAGUGAGGUCGUGGUGCCUCUCUUCCUCGCGCCUGUGUGUGUGUAUGUACACGUCAUGGACUCGCAUACAGACAGUUGCGGGCACACCAACUCAUGCAGCGCAGAGAAGGGAGCCUGUAGAAGCUAUGCAGACAUGCGCCAGAAAUGGCUUUGCUCCUUUUUUCUUCCAUUCUGUACCGGCUGUACCGUGUGCUGCCUCGAUAUAUCCUUGCACGGCACUCCCUUUCUGCCCUCCAUUUCUCUCUGCACCGGAUCGCUCUCCGGGUUGGUUACCGCAAAG